AAUACAUGUGUGUUGUGUGUGUGUGUGUGUGUGUAUGUGUUGACCGACCAAAUGAAUCCCUAUGCAGGUUGACAUCAGGCAGAGCUGGGUUUAAUUUCCAGCUCAGCCACCUUCCCGCUGUGGAACGUGGGGCAAGCUCCUUCACCUCUCUGAGCUUCAGUUUCCUCAUUGGUGAAAUAGAGGGCAUCCCACCAGGGGGCCGUGGGAUAUAUAUGAGAUGGCAUAUAGAAUGUGCCUGGAUUGUCUUGGUUACAGGCCACCAUUUUUUUUUUUUUUAAAGAUUUUAUUUUUUCCUUUUUCUUCCCAAAGCCCCCCAGUACAUAGUUGUAUAUUCUUUAUUGUGGGUCCUGCUAGUUGUGGCAUGUGGGACGCUGCCCCAGCGUGGCUUGACGAGCAGUGUCAUGUCCGCGCCCAGGACUCGAACCAACGAAACACUGGGCCGCCCGCAGCGGAGCGCGCGAACCCAACCGCUCGGCCACGGGGCCAGCCCCACGGGCCACCAUUUUAUCAGAAAGAGACAGAAGCUCUGCCCUAGAGUAGUCCCCGGAUUGGGUCUGUGAAGCGAGAGACCUGGGCUCCCCAUCCCAUGUCCAUCACCUCUGUCCCAAGAGGCCUUGGACUCCCCACAGCUGACCCCACAGAUCCCACCACGACCACCACCAUUUGCCUUAGGGAAGUGGGCAGAGGAAGGCGCACUAUGCCAGGAGUCCAGAGCCCAGAGUUCUACUUCUGGCUGCAUCAUUGCCUCCCUUGGACCCUGGGCAGGUCACACCCUUUUCUGGACAGUGGUCCCUAAGAGAAGGAAAACAAACAAGAUGGGCCCUACGACUGCCCCAGCUGACUGCCUGGAGCGUUUCCAGCCUGCAGCAGAGAGAGGGGGGACAACUAGCAAGCAGCGGAGCCAAGCCUCAGUCUUAACCAGCACUGACCUGCUUCCCCCAGCGCCCAGCCAGCCUUGGCCCAGCGGCUCCCCUGGAAAGAGAUGGGAGCCAAGAGACCCAGGUGCAAGUCUUACCACUGUUACUUCCUGGCCAUGUGACCCCAGACGGUCAGAAUCGGAGGCUGAUGCUGCCUACAGCUCUGGGGUCCUGUGCCCCGAAGAGCUUCCUUCCUCCUUCCACACGCCUCCCAGUGCCUCCCAGGAUUGCAACUUGGCGGAACUGAGCAGGGAGAAGCAGCAGCUUCAAGGACGCUCCUCAGCGUGGAACGAGAAACAAUGUCACCCUCGGAGAGGAGUGUACCUCUCAGCCCACUGGCCAGCACUCCAUGUUCCUCCCUUUAGGAAAGACCCAGCUUCCACUGGCCUAGUGUGUGUGCACACACGUGUGCCUUCUGGUCAUUGCUCCAGAACACGAGGAGGGAAGAAACAGAAAAUCAUCAAAGAGGAAAAUUAACGGCUGGAGAGGGCAUUGUUAACCCUUAUGGCUUGGCUCACCUGGCUUUCCACCCCGCAGCUCCGCGUGCACCCGCCAAAGCGGCUGAGUCUUUUUAUGACUACAACUCCAAGAAGGGAAAAAAGACGCGAAAAGAAGAGGGGGGGAAAAAACCAAACCAGGAGGCAGAGGAGAAAAAAGCAAAAGAAAAGAGAAAGAGAAUUAAACCAUUAAUCUGCCUGGAUUUUCCACUUCACAGAGUAAUCAGUUUGGAAGUGACUGAAAUAAAGUGGAAUGUACGAUUCCCACCAUCUCCUCCCUCCAGUCCACAUUUCUUAUUUACAGAAAAACGGGGAGCCAGAGAGGCGGCCUCCUUGCCCCCCACAAAGGCCUCCAGUGUCCGCUCGAGACGAGGACAAGGACCCCAGCCCUCAGCCGCAGCUGCCCGAUGCCUCGACACCCGGGCGACGGCCGCCCUGAGCUGGAGGUGCAAAGCCAAGAUGAUUUAAUUUAUAGAAAGGACAAGGAUGUCGUGUAGCAGAUUUAAUCAUCGGAGAGUUUAAAAAAAAAUAAGGACCGGGCUAAUGUCGUAAUUUACAUUUCAGGAUAAUAAAGAGAGAAAGACAGACA
rnacentral:lncRNA from 1 species